rnacentral:ncRNA from 1 species
AUAGAAACGGGCGAUGGAGUUCGCCUUUAACCGCUUGAAAAGCUGAUAACUCCUACCCGAAA